rnacentral:lncRNA from 1 species
CAUGUGUCUAGGCUAGAUCUGAAAAUGUUUAGUUAAAUGUGAGCUCCAGGCCACAAGCUCCUGAUCUGACUUCUGAUUCUGUAUUUUCUUGCAGUUGAGUGUGGAAAGAGCUUGGGGAGUUGACUGCACAACCCGUGAUACACUCUCACCCUUGCUGAGAGCCAUGGCUGGCCUGCUGCCCUUAUUCCUGGGAAUGAUGGAACUGAUACUAUGACUACAAAAUUCACAUGUGCUGGAGUUUUUAGGAAGAAUACUCUGAAUUUGAGGAAAAUGUUCAUUGUCGGAUCCUUUCUGCAAAUUAACGGAGUUAAAAUUUCGACCCUGGAUUUGAAUUUUAGCUGUUUUGCUUUAGACAGGUUGCUUAUUCUUUCCUAUUAUUUUCUUCGGCUGCAUAAUGAGGAUAAUACCUGUGUGAGGGUUAAACAGACCAUAGGUAGACUGACACAGUGGUUGGCACAGGGUAGAAGUGAGGUACUUGAGUUCCCAGUUCUUUGAAGAUAAGCUGCACAUUUCUGUACCUAGUGCUUUAGUUAAAAUAGUUUGGAUCCUUAAUAUAUAAUUCUGUGAGGUAGGCUAAAGUUCUCUCUACACCCUUGUUUAUGUAUGAAUUUACUCAGCAAACUUUCCCAGAGCCAAGGUAACCUUCAGGGCAGCCAAGUCCAAACAGGCCUGGAGCAAUGUCACUGUUUUUCCUCCAUUGCAGCCAUGAGCUUGAGCUGGUUACAGGGAAUAGCUCACUGUAUCUCCUGGACUGUGGGAAGACAAACAGGAGUGAAGGGGCCCAGCCCUCACUACAGAAUAUUCUCCCAAUUGUACCAUUUCUGACUGAAACUUAUGGAUUCCCACAUGGAUACAUUAUUGCCCAACUCCUCAUUGCAUACAUGAACAGACAGAGGUUCUUUGUAGAUGCAGUUGAAGGGGGAUAUAAGAGAGUAUUGGCAAGGGCUUGGGCUUAGAACAGGGUGGUUCACUUCAUGUUAGGAUUCUGCCUCCAGCGUCAGAUCAAACUAGUCACCUUUUGGCAAGUAACAAAUUCUUGGAUUCUUUCUUUAAAAGGGGAUAAGAUAAUUUAUUUUCUAUUAUGUAAAUUAAAAGGACAUAAUGGUGCUAAAUUGGAUUGAAAUAGGAUGGUCAUUUUCCUAUAUAUGAUUACACCUGUCUGAAUCUGUGAAAAAGGAGACAACAGAGGAAUCAAAGGGAUGUAUCCAUAUGGUUCUCCUAUGGUCAACUCAGGGAGCUUUUCCAAAGUGUCCAGGGGGUUAUGGCUUGAGUGUGUCCAGAAACACAUAGUCAGGUAACUCCAAGCUGAUUUGCUAAGAGCCAACUCACUUCCCAAAGGACUGAGGUUUCUGAGAUUUUCCUAUAACCCUCUCCUCUGCCCAGCCCCAACUCCUAAUGGAAACAAAGGGCUGCAGACUGCUUUAAGCAGUCAAAAUCUCCCCUGAUGGUCCCAGGGCUGGGCUGGAGCUGAGGAAGAACAGAAGCAGGUGCUCUGAGGGAAAGCAUACCUGGGCACACAGAAAACAUCAUGCAGCAGGGAUAUGAGGCCUGAGGGGCAAUGUUCAUGUGGGUUGAGUUUGUCAUUUGGUCUUGAUUUUUGAUGACCUGACUUGUUUUCACAUAUGUACUUUUGAGAAGGUAACAGGAAAUAAAGAAUUGCUAUUAUAAAAUUGAAGGGUGUUAGAAUUGAAUUAGAAUCUGAAGUUGUUCUUUUCACUGGAAAAGAGUUCUCAAAGUGUUUGUGGCAGGGAUUGUGAGGAGAUGCCAGACUGAUGUAUGAUCAUGUCUCUGUAAAGUAAUCCCCUCAUGAUCUGGGGUACUUCCCUGAGGCCUCUGACCCCUUGGGUUGAGGAGAAUCCUUGGAUAGUGAAGUGUAAGGAAGAUUCCCCAGGGACUCCACUCUGGGAAGCAGAGGUGGGUACAGAGGGAAGAACUCAGCCCUGAGAGGUGGGGAUUCAGAGUUCAGUGAGUGUGGACAGGGAGGCCUCUAAUAGAGCUGUGUGAGUAGGCAGGGCCUUCUCCUUGUUGGUGCUGAAGCAGACAUGAGCUUAAAAAUAGGAGAGAUCACAUGAGUGUGUUUCUUCUGAAGAAGAUAGAAAGGAACCCACUUUCUGGCUUAUGGAAUGCCCAGCCUGGAGGGGAAACAGGUUUCUCAGUGUGUGGUUAUGGCCAAGAGCGGGAUUACUGUUCAGCAUGGGAAGGGAAAAAGGGGU